rnacentral:tRNA from 1 species
GGUCAAGGCCGGGUUGACAGUGGACUGCAAAUCCGUCGCGAAAGCUGCAGAGGUUCGAAUCCUCUACCCGCCA